rnacentral:rRNA from 1 species
UACAGAGGUCUCAAGCGUUGUUCGGAUUCAUUGGGCGUAAAGGGUGCGUAGGCGGCGCGGUAAGUCGGGUGUGAAAUUUCGGAGCUUAACUCCGAAACUGCAUUCGAUACUGCCGUGCUCGAGGACUGGAGAGGAGACUGGAAUUUACGGUGUAGCAGUGAAAUGCGUAGAUAUCGUAAGGAAGACCAGUGGCGAAGGCGGGUCUCUGGACAGUUCCUGACACUGAGGCACGAAGGCCAGGGGAGCAAACGGG